rnacentral:rRNA from 1 species
UACGAAGGGGGCUAGCGUUGCUCGGAAUCACUGGGCGUAAAGGGUGCGUAGGCGGGUUUCUAAGUCAGAGGUGAAAGCCUGGAGCUCAACUCCAGAACUGCCUUUGAUACUGGAAGUCUUGAGUUCGGGAGAGGUGAGUGGAACUGCGAGUGUAGAGGUGAAAUUCGUAGAUAUUCGCAAGAACACCAGUGGCGAAGGCGGCUCACUGGCCCGAUACUGACACUGAGGCACGAAAGCGUGGGGAGCAAACAGG